ensembl:lncRNA
ACUCACCUGCAUUCUGCACAUCUAAAAGUACACCAUAAAAUCAGGUGCCCUUACAAAGACUGUAACUUUGAAAGCAGUGUUUACUCCACCUUCAAAGCACACAAGAGUAAAGUACACAGGGAACAGAACUGGACAGAAUUUAAGCCAUAAAUCGUUGGCGAUGAUAUUGUAAGCCAUGACCGGGAUGUUGCACAAGAGCAAAUGCUAGAUGCAGAUGAUGUUGAGGACUUAGAAGAGGUGAGUGAAGUAACCAGUGACCAAGAUCUUCAUGACUUAGAAAAGCAGCUUGAGCACAAUUUAGCGUCUCUUCUGCUCAAGAUGCAAACUGUAUUGAACAUACCAGAGAGUGCAGUGCAGGAGGUGAUGCAACAACUUUGUCAACUCAAUAAGCUGUCACAGCCAAUUCUCCAAAGCAGAGUCAGGGCCAUAUUAAAAAGGUAUUAUGCUGACAUGGAUGAAACAGUUUUGAAAGAGGUCAUCAAUGCUGUGUCAGAAAGUAACAUCAUGACAUAUUGUGCCCAGGAUGGAGCUUUAGGAACUUAAAAAAAAGAGCAGCCUAUGUACGCAGAGAGUUUCCACUGGUAAGAGUAUGUUGUAGAAAAAGGCAAAAAAACUCUUGCAUACGUUCCCAUUUUUCCCAUGCUACAGAAGUUACUUCAAAAAACUGAUGUUUUAGACAAAGCUAUGUCAGAAAAAGUCCAUGUCCCACAACAAUACAGAUCAUAUGCUGAUGAACAGCACUUUACGGAAAAUUCACUUUUGGCAAAAGAUGAGUUUACCAUUGCUCUUGGCCUAUACAUUGAUGACUUUGAAGUAGCCAAUCCUCUCGGAACAUCAAGGCUUAAACACAAAAUGUGUGCAGUAUACUAGGUUAUUGCGAACAUACCUGCAAAAUACAGGUCAACCCUCAACUCUAUCCAGUUUGCUCUGCUAUGCAACACCUCCACAGUGAAAGAGUGUGGUUAUGAAAAGAUUAUUCACCCUCUGAUCUAUGACCUCAAGUUAUUGGAGCAAAAUGGCGUUUACGUGGAGCAAUUGGGUGUAAGUGUGAAAGGGACAGUCUUGUAUGUUGCGGCUGAUAAUCUUGGUGCCCACUCCCUUGCAGGAUUCCUGGAGAGCUUCACUGUGGACAAGUUUUGCAGAUUCUGCACAGCAAACAGGGGAGACGCUCAACAGCAGGAGAUGGCUGCACCACAGAAACUAACCAUGAGGGUUAUUAUCUCCGAGGGAGAUAUUAGAAAGAUGACAAUGACUCCACGACCAGACACACUGGAAGACUUGAUUGGCUGGCUCAAAGAUGUUCUUCAAGCAUGCUACACAUUCACCAUACAAUACCAAGAUCCUGAAUUUGACAAUUAAUUGGUUAACCUCACAGAUGUCUCUGAUCUCCCAGAGAAACCAACAAUCAAAAUCAUCCCGGUGAUUGAGCUUGAACCAGUCACAGCACAACUGGAAUUAUGUACUGCCGGAAGCAGCCAGGAAGGCACAGCACAACCAGAAUUAUGUAAUGCCGGAAGCAGCCAGGAAGGCAUCGCCUCUCCAAACAGAUCUUCUCAGUGGCCGGAGGAAUUUGAAAUUCCUAAAUUUCCAGUCGAUGUUGAGUAUAGACUUCGCCAAGCUAACCUGCUAUAUCUCAGGGAUGCAACCCCUCUUCAAGUAACUAAAGAACUUAAGCAUGAAAUUCUCCAGAAACUGGCAGAGACCAUGUAUGCGUUCAAAGCAUACCCAGGAAAAUAAAAUUAUGAAGCUGUUGCCAAAGCCUUGGUGCAAACACACCCGUGCCUUAAAGAGAAAGGGUCCUGUGGCUGGUAUCGAUGGAAGAACAGCAUCACCUUUAAAAUGGGGAAUUAUAGAAGUAAAAUGCGCAAGCUGGGUCGACUUGAUGUCAGUGUCAAUGGUGGUAAACGUGGAAGGCACAGUACUGGUGGUGACCCACCAAACAAAGGCAUCAAGAAGCCAAGGAAAGGUGAAAUCAAUUUCCUGCCUGAUUAUCCAGAAGGGAUGGAAGACCAGAAUCUGGAAGGAAUUCGUCAGAUUCUGGUGAAUGAAAUGAUGAAGACGAAGCCAAAUGCAUCCCUCGUUAAGAAAGAGAUGGAUGUAACAUUUGCCCUCCGCUGAAAGGAAGUUGUCAAUGACGAGCCUGCCAUCAGCCAGAUUGUAGAGCGUUGGCCAGCUCUUUUCACAGAAAGUCAGGUUUGUUUUGAAUAUUACAGUUAAAGAUUUAAUUGCAUUCUGUGUUGUAAUUGUAAUGUUGACUAGUAAACAAAUUAGUACGUUCAUGCUUUUGGCACAUUGUGCCUGCUUAAUUAUCAGAUUUGAAAAGAUGGCUCUGGACUACUUUUUGCUUCACUUUGUUGAUACACAUACGAUUUCAUACAGCCUAAGUGGCAUGUGAAGCAAGGUGCAGUUGAGAGCACAGAGGAGUGUGUCUAAAUAAAGUAUUUGUUCUUUUGUUGUAAACAUAAUCAUACAGAUAAGAAAAUAUAACAUUGACCAUGGGCUUGUAUGUUGUUUACUUUGUUUCAGGUUUAUUAUGAGUUCAGCAGAGUGGUGGGAAGAAAUCUCAGAGAACAUUUCUUUGAUGUGCUUGACCGUUUCUCUCCAAGCCUGAUGGAGCUUUUCAGGAAGAAGACAGGCCUUACUGGUCAGGUUUUGAUUGGGCUGUUACGUCAAACAAAGGUGACUUGAUUUGUCUACAUCAUUUUACUCCCUUUGUUGUCCUGUGAAGUUUCUCUCCUUUCCCUUUGUCUUUUCUGUCUCUCAGUUUCUUCUGUUUUUUUUCUCCUUUGCUUUCCUUCUUUUCUUGUUCCAUCUCGUUUUUCUGAUGUUUUCUUUUCUUCCAAUUCGUCUCUUCUUUUUCUUGCAAUUAUCUAUUCAUAUAUCGUUCCCUUUCAUCUCCUGCCUUAUUUUCUCAUCUUUUCCCCAGUCCUCCUUUUUUAAUGCAUUUCUGUCCCCUAUUGCACUUGUACAUUUUCAUAUUUGUCAUGAAAUUGUGGGGAAUUUCUAGAAUUAGUUUUUGAUAAAUAUGUGUGAGUAUUCUUAGAAAACUUUGUUGUAUUGUGUCUUCUAUAUUCCAGACCUCUGAGCCAACAGACAUCAGGUGCCUUUGUAUUCGGGGACUGCCUGUCAUCUUGGGAGAUGAUCCUUCUGCCUUCUUCAAGACCUGCACUGUAAGCGAAUGAAUGUGUUGUAAACGUUGCAGCUGAAUGUUCUCUUAUCCCUUUUUUUAUUUUGAACCAUUCAUAAAGACCAUAUACUACUUUUUCAUUCAGUGUUUCACAGACUUUUUAGCCAUACACAUUUUUACCCAAAACUAUUUGAAUAUCUGCAUGACUGUUCAAUGGUGUGAAAAUAACUGAGAAAGCUUGACUAUUAAAAUCAAUAUGUUAAACUAACAUCAAAUAUUUUGCUGUGGCUGUAGAAAUGCAAAGUCAAUCCUUAAGGCCAGGCCUCAUAUCCUGUAUGAGCAGCGCGUCUUUCUUUUUAUGUCUUUCAUUGUACAGUUUAUUCAUUGUAAACAUCUGAAGGCAAUUGCUUGUGGACAACCGACUAUUAUCUAACUAGCAUGAUUGUGGCCUCUCCUUGUCAAUCUUUCCCUCUUAAGAUCCAGCUGACAAAGGGCCUCAUUUAUAAAACGUACUUACGCACAGAUUUGAUCUGAGAGUGUUUGUGCGAUCAAAUCCACGUCUAAGUACAGAUUUAUAAAAACCGUCUUAGACGUAGAAAAGGACGUAUCUCUACGUCUGGUUCUAGUUCGUGUAAGUACAUUUCCUUGUGGCAAUACUGGAGU